rnacentral:rRNA from 1 species
AUUGAACGCUGGCGGCAGGCCUAACACAUGCAAGUCGAACGAGUGGCGGACGGGUGAGUAAUGUCUGGGAAACUGCCUGAUGGAGGGGGAUAACGACUGGAAACGGUAGCUAAGAGCGCAAACCAUGCGAUGUGCCCAGAUGGGAUUAGCAAGUUGGUGGGGUAACGGCUCACCAAGGCGACGAUCCCUAGCUGGUCUGAGAGGAUGACCAGCCACACUGGAACUGAGACACGGUCCAGACUCCUACGGGAGGCAGCAGUGGGGAAUAUUGCACAAUUGGCGCAAGCCUGAUGCAGCCAUGCCGCGUGUAUGAAGAAGGCCUUCGGGUUGUAAAGUACUUUCAGCGGAGAGGCGUUACCCGCACCUGAAGCACCGGCUAACUCCGUGCCAGCAGCCGCGGUAAUAC